UUUGCCUACGGGGGGCAGCAGUGGGGAAUAUUGCACAAUGGGGGAAACCCUGAUGCAGCGACGCCGCGUGAAGGACGAAGUAUUUCGGUACGUAAACUUCUAUCAGCAGGGAAGAAAAUGACGGUACCUGACCAAGAAGCCCCGGCUAACUACGUGCCAGCAGCCGCGGUAAUACGUAGGGGGCAAGCGUUAUCCGGAUUUACUGGGUGUAAAGGGAGCGUAGACGGCCAUGCAAGUCUGAUGUGAAAACCCGGGGCUCAACCCCGGGACUGCAUUGGAAACUGUGCGGCUGGCGUGUCGGGGAG
rnacentral:rRNA from 1 species